rnacentral:rRNA from 1 species
GGGCUGCAGUAGGGAAUAUUGCACAAUGGGCGCAAGCCUGAUGCAGCAACGCCGCGUGCGCGAUGAAGGCCUUCGGGUCGUAAAGCGCUUUUCGGGGAGAAGAGGAAGGACGGUAUCCCCGGAAUAAGUCUCGGCUAACUACGUGCCAGCAGCCGCGGUAAAACGUAGGAGGCAAGCGUUAUCCGAAUUUACUGGGCGUAAAGGGUGUGCAGGCGGUUCGGUAAGUUGGGUGUGAAAUCUCCCGGCUCAACUGGGAGAGGACGCUCAAGACUGUCGGACUGGAGGGCGGUAGAGGGAGGUGGAAUUCCCGGUGUAGUAGUGAAAUGCGUAGAUAUCGGGAGGAACGCCAGUGGCGAAAGCGGCCUCCUGGACCGUACCUGACGCUGAGACACGAAAGCUAGGGGAGCGAACGGGAUUAGAAACCCCGGUAGUCCUAGCCGUAAACGAUGUGGACUGGGUGUGGAUGGGGUAAAAGCCAGCCGUGCCGAAGCCAACGCGAUAAGUCCACCGCCUGGGGACUACGGCCGCAAGGUUA